UGGUCUGAAAACUAAGAAAUUAGAAAGAGAAAAGAAGGAAGAAGAUGAAUAGGAGCAGAAAAAGGGGUUGAGCAAAGGUAGUAACUUUGUCUUCCAUCCAGGUGAUAAGUGGCUUUUAUUUGUGAUUAAUCUGCUUUCUUUCUCUUUAGGUUUAAACAGAAAAUAUUUUAAUUUGCUUUUAUUGUUUUUUAUUUAAAUCUAGAACUCUACAUGGG
rnacentral:misc_RNA from 1 species